rnacentral:rRNA from 1 species
UACGAAGGGUGUAAGCGUUGUUCGGAAUCAUUGGGCGUAAAGCGCGCGCAGGUGGAUCAGUAAGUCAGAUGUGAAAUCUCGAAGCUCAACUUCGAAACUGCGUCUGAAACUGUUAGUUUAGAAUGUCGGAGGGGGUAGGGGAAUUUCACGUGUAGGGGUAAAAUCCGUAGAGAUGUGAAGGAACAUUGGAGGUGAAGGUGUCUGUUUGGAUGAUUAUUGAUGCUGAGGUGCGAAAGCGUGGGGAGCAAACAGG